rnacentral:rRNA from 1 species
GAUGAACGCUGGCGGCGUGCCUAAUACAUGCAAGUAGAACGCUGAAGCUUGGUGCUUGCACCGAGCGGAUGAGUUGCGAACGGGUGAGUAACGCGUAGGUAACCUGCCUGGUAGCGGGGGAUAACUAUUGGAAACGAUAGCUAAUACCGCAUAACAGUCGACAUUGCAUGAUGUUGAUUUGAAAGGGGCAAUUGCUCCACUACCAGAUGGACCUGCGUUGUAUUAGCUAGUUGGUGAGGUAACGGCUCACCAAGGCGACGAUACAUAGCCGACCUGAGAGGGUGAUCGGCCACACUGGGACUGAGACACGGCCCAGACUCCUACGGGAGGCAGCAGUAGGGAAUCUUCGGCAAUGGGGGCAACCCUGACCGAGCAACGCCGCGUGAGUGAAGAAGGUUUUCGGAUCGUAAAGCUCUGUUGUAAGAGAAGAACGAGUGUGAGAGUGGAAAGUUCACACUGUGACGGUAACUUACCAGAAAGGGACGGCUAACUACGUGCCAGCAGCCGCGGUAAUACGUAGGUCCCGAGCGUUAUCCGGAUUUAUUGGGCGUAAAGCGAGCGCAGGCGGUUAGAUAAGUCUGAAGUUAAAGGCUGUGGCUUAACCAUAGUACGCUUUGGAAACUGUUUAACUUGAGUGCAGAAGGGGAGAGUGGAAUUCCAUGUGUAGCGGUGAAAUGCGUAGAUAUAUGGAGGAACACCGGUGGCGAAAGCGGCUCUCUGGUCUGUAACUGACGCUGAGGCUCGAAAGCGUGGGGAGCAAACAGGAUAGAUACCCUGGUAGUCCAAGGGCGAAUUCCACAGUGGAUAUCAAGCUUAUCGAUACCGUCGACCUCGAGGGGGGGCCCGGUACCCAGCUUUUGUUCCCUUUAGUGAGAGAUUAAAUUACAC